rnacentral:rRNA from 1 species
AUUGAACGCUGGCGGCAUGCCUUACACAUGCAAGUCGAACGGUAACAGGUCUUCGGAUGCUGACGAGUGGCGAACGGGUGAGUAAUACAUCGGAACGUGCCUAGUAGUGGGGAUAACUACUCGAAAGAGUGGCUAAUACCUCAUGAGAUCUACGGAUGAAAGCAGGGGAUCGCAAGACCUUGUGCUACUAGAGCGGCCGAUGGCAGAUUAGGUAGUUGGUGGGAUAAAAGCUUACCAAGCCGACGAUCUGUAGCUGGUCUGAGAGGACGAUCAGCCACACUGGGACUGAGACACGGCCCAGACUCCUACGGGAGGCAGCAGUGGGGAAUUUUGGACAAUGGGCGCAAGCCUGAUCCAGCAAUGCCGCGUGCAGGAUGAAGGCCUUCGGGUUGUAAACUGCUUUUGUACGGAACGAAAAGCCCUGGGUUAAUACCCUGGGGUCAUGACGGUACCGUAAGAAUAAGCACCGGCUAACUACGUGCCAGCCGCCGCCGUAAGAC